rnacentral:lncRNA from 1 species
GAUAUGCAUGCCAUCUAUCCUGUCCCUCAAGUAUCAGGUCCUUGGGAAAUAGGAGCCAUAAUGUGUAAGCCUCUUGGACACAAUAUCUCAGAAUAAGAUGUGUACACAAAUGCUCAAGAUGAGUUUUGAAGUCAGUCUCCAUGUUACCAGUCUAAGAGUGCGCCAGAGAGCAGCAACUGGACACAGAAAUCCAAGGAUUGUCUGCAUGAAGCCAGGCCCAUUUUGCACCUUAAUCCUCCCUGCAAGAUUGCCAUCAAUGUCAAAAAUUCAAAACUUGGAAAGUUUAAUGGGAAAAUCAAAGGCCAAAGAAAUACCCAGACUUCUGCCUGAGGUCCUGAUGAAUGUAUUAAAAAGAAAUUAUGAUUAGAGAAGGUGCAGAGUUAAACAGGGAAUUAUGCAGCUUGCUCAUGUUUGUGGCUCUGUUGGGUAGACAGUAACAGUGCUCUUGUUAAUGGCAACAUAGGUUCUGACAGUCAUGAGCCACUUAGGAUUUGAUUUGUUAGGCUUCAAGUGCCCUAACCCCUGAUUUGCAUAAUACUUUCAAUGUAGUUUACUUUGUAUUACCAAAAUUUCAAGAGAAACUGAUCCAUUUGCACAAAUGGAAUAUUAAAACACACCUGGAGAGAAUCAGUCAGAAGAUCACCAACACAACUGGCAACAUUAAUUGAAAAAUGUUUAAUCCCUACGGUAUGCAAAACAGAGAAGCAAGAAGAAAGUUAUACUCUGAGCCAGGAUACAGGUAGGAUUACACACGUUGUCUUGCAGCUAGGUGUAUCUCCCUGUUGGUCUAUUUGCUUUGGUCACACACUGAAACACCAGAUUCUACUCUGCUCGGGGACUACGUGUGCCUAUGCUGCUUCCAUUAUAGUCAUGCCCCUCGUCUCUCUAGCCCCAGAGAGCUCACAAGGCAUUUCCACUGUUUUCGUGUUGUUUCAGGAAAAUACAUGGCACAGGUACUAUUUUCCAUUUGCACAGAGGAAAAAAGUAAGGAUCAGAGAUUCAGAAACUUUCGCGGGGUCUAACAGGUGAUCCCUCAAUGGUGAGACACACAGGGAUAGCUGUGGAUCAGAAUCCUCGUUCUGCUGGUAUGCAAUCUGCAUAAAGCGGUUUGCAUAAUCUGAGCCUCUGCUUCUUCCUCAGCUAAUUAUGGGUGGUCAUAUGAUCCUGGCCUUCUGUGAGAAGGAACAGUUGUAACAUACCUCAGGGCCAGCCUCUGUGUGUCCUGCAGCAGAGGCUCAGCAAACGAGCUGUCAUUAUUAGCCACACCCACUGCAGCCUUAACAGCACGCCAUGAAUCACCACUGACAUCAUUAACCACGCAUUUCCUAACAGAAUAAAUAUGGUGAAUACAUUACGAGUGGUGCCA